AGAGUUUGAUCAUGGCUCAGAGCGAACGCUGGCGGCAGGCCUAACACAUGCAAGUCGAACGGACUCUUCGGAGUUAGUGGCGGACGGGUGAGUAACACGUGGGAACGUGCCUUUAGGUUCGGAAUAAGCUCGGGAAACUGGGUCUAAUACCGAAUGUGCCCUUCGGGGGAAAGAUUUAUCGCCUUUAGAGCGGCCCGCGUCUGAUUAGCUAGUUGGUGGUGUAAUGGACCACCAAGGCGACGAUCAGUAGCUGGUCUGAGAGGAUGACCAGCCACAUUGGGACUGAGACACGGCCCAAACUCCUACGGGAGGCAGCAGUGGGGAAUCUUGCGCAAUGGGCGAAAGCCUGACGCAGCCAUGCCGCGUGCAUGAUGAAGGUCUUAGGAUUGUAAAAUACUUUCACCGGUGAAGAUAAUGACUGUAGCCGGAGAAGAAGCCCCGGCUAACUUCGUGCCAGCAGCCGCGGUAAUACGAAGGGGGCUAGCGUUGCUCGGAAUUACUGGGCGUAAAGGGAGCGUAGGCGGACAUUUAAGUCGGGGGUGAAAUCCCAGAGCUCAACUCUGGAACUGCCUUUGAUACUGGGUGUCUUGAGUGUGAGAGAGGUAUGUGGAACUCCGAGUGUAGAGGUGAAAUUCGUAGAUAUUCGGAAGAACACCAGUGGCGAAGGCGACAUACUGGCUCAUUACUGACGCUGAGGCUCGAAGGCGUGGGGAGCAAACAGGAUUAGAUACCCCGGUAGUCC
rnacentral:rRNA from 1 species